GACAGAGGGUGCAAACGUUGUUCGGAAUUACUGGGCGUAAAGCGUGUGUAGGCGGCUUUGCAAGUCGGAUGUGAAAGCCCCGGGCUCAACCCGGGAAGUGCACUCGAUACUGCAGAGCUUGAGUGUCGGAGAGGUUGGUGGAAUUCUCGGUGUAGAGGUGAAAUUCGUAGAUAUUCGCAAGAACACCAGUGGCGAAGGCGGCUCACUGGCCCGAUACUGACGCUGAGGCACGAAAGCGUGGGGAGCGAACAGG
rnacentral:rRNA from 1 species